GCCCGCCGGGCCGGUGCUCCCCCCACGUGCUGUGGCAGCGCCGCGCCGGUCCUGCGCGGCUCGGUUCCGCAUCGCCGCAACAACCGCAGGGCGUGGAGGCAGCUGGAAGAAGUAGUGCUUCGUGCUCGGAUUUCACAUCCGUUGCUUUGGAAGUUGCUCAGUGUGGCCUUACGAGCAAUGGAAAUUUGCCAAAUUGGGGAACAACAGCUCAAAGUCAGCCAGAAGUCACCGUGAUGGAGCAGGUAAUAGAAGAGUGGGGAUAAAGUAAGUGGGUGUACGACCACCCUAAAAUCAACCACAUGUGCCUGAGGGGACAUCAGAAUGUAUUGAAUUCUUGGAAAGGAAUGAAUGUAUAUGCCAUGUAGUGCACGUGUGUGUCUUAAAUGCAGAACCUGAACGCCAUGAGCGUGCACUUGAGCGUCACCCAUUGCAUAUUGUGAGGAAUAAAGGAAUGCCUCUUUCUGAUGCCGCAUUGCAGUGAAAGAGUUUUCUUCCCGGAUUUCGGAUGAUACAACAAUGCCCAAAGCCACCAAGGUAGCUGUGCGCUCAGCCCGGCUGCGGGCAGGAGAUUGCAGUGGAAACCUCCCCACAUUCCUUCCAACCUCGCCCCACUGAGAGCCCGCAGGCUGUGGCACACAAACAGCGCCUUCACUUUCUUCCUCCCCUUCAUCAGGGCCACAUUUUGAGCCAUGUUUCAGGACCCAGCCAGAGCCAGGGGUGGACUCUGAUCCCAUGGAAUGUCACUGGUGGAAAUGAGAAGAUGGAGAUGUCCUCAUCCAUGCUGAAGAACGUCACUGGCCCAAUUCCUAGUACAGAGACCCACCUGGGAGUACAAGGCAAGGAGUGUGCACUGUGGAGAUGUGAGUGCCUCGAUCUGCCCUGCCCACUGCCCCACAGCACACAUGCCCACCUCUGGCCAAACCCAAUCUCCUCUUUUCUCCUCACAUCUUCUGAAAAGAACCCCAUGGUUCUUGGCCCCUUACUUU